CUUAAGAGUAUGUAACGUAUCCGGCCGUAAUUUUGAAAUCCCGCCAUUUCCAGAUUCACAGGAGGCGACGAUCGGACGAGGCUUGUCGGCGGGAAACAAAUUCCGGCAGCUCAACGAAUGCGUGGAUCGGGUUUUGGAUUAGGAGUUGAAACCGAUGAAUUUGGGCGAUCUCAACAAAGUUUGGGAAAUCAAAUCGCUGAAGAGGAAACCUAAUGAAGAAGAGGCCAGAAAGAUUUUGGAAAGAAUUGCGAAGCAGGUUCAGCCAAUCAUGCGGAAGCACAAUUGGAGGGUCAAAGUUCUUUCGGAAUUCUGUCCGAAAAAUCCGGCUCUUUUGGGCUUGAAUGUGGGGCGUGGUAUACAUGUAAAAUUAAGGCUAAGGAGGGCAAACAGAGAUGAUGAAUUUAUCCCUUUUCAUCAAGUUCUUGAUACAAUGCUCCAUGAGCUAUGCCACAAUGCUCAUGGCCCUCAUAAUGCCGUUUUUUACAAACUCUGGGAUGAAAUUCGAAAGGAAUGUGAAGAUCUCAUUAACAGAGGGAUAAGUGGGUCAGGCGAAGGAUUUGAUAUUCCUGGAAGACGUUUGGGUGGAGCCUCUCGAAAGCCACUUUCUUCUCUACGCCAAGCUGCAUCGAAGGCUGCGGAAAAUAGAGCCCGUUUAGGAUCUUUAAUGCCUUCAGGACCUAAGAAAAUCGGAGGAGAUAGUUCUAUUAUGGCUGCUCUUAGUCCUGUGCAAGCUGCUGCAAUGGCAGCUGAAAGAAGAUUACAGGAUGAAAUCUGGUGUGGGUCGGAGUUCUACAAUUUAUCCGAGGAAGAUGAAUCCUUAGAUAAGGUCGACUUAUCUACAACUGCCAGCACUUCCCUUGAUGAAGAUAAUACUAAGCAAAAAUCGAGGAAAAGAGGCCGAGAAGUGGAUGAUGUUUCACUGCGCCAAUCCACUUUCGUAGAUCUUACUGAAACUGUUCCCAAUUCAUCGUCUUUCAACCGUUCAAACAAAGAAUCACUCUCUCAGAAUAAUAAAAAUAAGUUACCGGGGGAAGCUUCAUCUUCCUCUUCCAAAUCUUCUCACGAUCCAACCUGUAAUGAUCACUGCAGCCAAUGGGAAUGUACUGUGUGCACUUUGUUGAAUCCGCCGUUAGCCCCAAUCUGCGAUCUCUGUAGAAGUGAACGUCCCAAGGAGAAUAACCUGAAAACCGGAACCUGGUCCUGCAGAUUCUGUACAUUGGAAAAUGACAGGAAGAUCGAUAAAUGUGCUGUAUGCGGAUCUUGGAGGUAUUCAUAUGGUCCCCCUUUAGCUUCUUCGGCACCCAAUCGUGGUACUUGAGUUUUCAAGAAGUAUACCUGUGGGUCGAUGAAUCUCCCUUGUCGUCCCAUCCUCGAGGGUAGACGGCUACAUUGAACUCACAGUACGAAUACACGACUCUAGAAUAAGGUUUCCAUGCCCUGCCUAAGUAGAUAGGCCCCUUCCCGUUUAACGUACAGUUUACAAAUGAGAAACCCGUGUCAACAUUAGGCGACUCUCUUCCAUGAGCUGCUACGGCAUUGAUUCGUCGAGGGAGUAGGUGUGGUCAUCGCCAUACCUGAUAAAGAGAUUUUGCGUAUCCGAAAAUGAAAUCGACCAAGCCUUCGAUGUACGACUGGUAAAAGUAGUGUGUUCCGAGCUGAUCCAUGAGGGUGUCCUGUGCGCCCUCGAACCUCGUCUUGUAGAACACGCAUUUGUCGCCCUUUAUCCGCAAUGCCACUGCUUGGGAGUUUUGAGCGCCGGCUGCCGGAGGCCCCGCCGUGUUCUGGUAAGAAAUGUGCGCAAUUUUUUUAUUGUUUUUGAACGAGUUGAGGAAUUUCUGUUUUUUUUUUUAUCGGAUUUGGUUUGCGAUAGUAAAGGGAGUGUAGUUGUAGAUUUUUGCCUGAAAUGUGAUCCCGGAGGCGCAAAAGUAGUCGGAUUCUAUGGUGACGGAUGCUGAACCGAUCGUCCCGAGCAUCUGUCCUUUGUUGCCUUUGUCCGAGGCUUUGUUGUACCACGUUAUGAUCGUCGACCCCGGACGGUUUCCGUCUCCGAUGAACGAAAUGUAUGGCUUGUUACGGCCGAUGACGACCUUUUCUCUACACAGUUUUUGCAAAAACAUCUAAGCGGGCUUAAUAUACUGACUCGCUCAG